GCCACUUUCGGAUCUAUAUUUUUCUCGUAUUUAUUUCUUUAAGGGGGGUCAGAGGGGGUUCAAUAGAAUUAAAUCUCACACAAAGAUGAGAUUAUUCCAUAUAUUUAAGUCUUGGCAGUGACCAAGUAAAAUUCGUGCCUUGUGCAUAUAAUUAUUU